rnacentral:rRNA from 1 species
GACGGAGGAUGCAAGUGUUAUCCGGAAUCACUGGGCGUAAAGCGUCUGUAGGUGGUCAAAUAAGUCAACUGUUAAAUCUUGAGGCUCAACCUCAAAAUCGCAGUCGAAACUAUUAGACUAGAGUAUAGUAGGGGUAAAGGGAAUUUCCAGUGGAGCGGUGAAAUACAUAGAGAUGUCAUAGAACACCGAUUGCGAAGGCAGCUAACGAAACUGUAACUGACGCUGAGGCUCGAAAGUGUGGGGAUCAAACAGG